rnacentral:rRNA from 1 species
UCAUAACGACUCUCGGCAACGGAUAUCUCGGCUCUCSCAUCGAUGAAGAACGUAGCGAAAUGCGAUACUUGGUGUGAAUUGCAGAAUCCCGUGAACCAUCGAGUCUUUGAACGCAAGUUGCGCCCGAAGCCAUUAGGCCGAGGGCACGUYUGCCUGGGCGUCAC